UACGGAGGGUGCAAGCGUUAUCCGGAUUCACUGGGUUUAAAGGGUGCGUAGGCGGGCAAGUAAGUCAGUGGUGAAAUCCCCGAGCUUAACUCGGAAACUGCCGUUGAUACUAUUUGUCUUGAAUAUUGUGGAGGUAAGCGGAAUAUGUCAUGUAGCGGUGAAAUGCUUAGAUAUGACAUAGAACACCAAUUGCGAAGGCAGCUUACUACACAAUUAUUGACGCUGAGGCACGAAAGCGUGGGGAUCAAACAGG
rnacentral:rRNA from 1 species